rnacentral:pre_miRNA from 1 species
ACAUUAUCUCCCGGGGAUCUUGUUAAAAUGUAGGUUCUGAUUCGAGAGGUCUGCAGUGGGAUCCAAGAUUCUACAGUUCUAACAAGUUCCCAGGUGAUGGUGGC